UGGCUCAGAUGGUAAAGCAUCUGUCUGCAAUGCAGGAGAUCCAGGUUCAAUCCCUGG
rnacentral:tRNA from 1 species